rnacentral:tRNA from 1 species
GGGGCUGUAGCUCAGCUGGGAGAGCACUACGCUGGCAGCGUAGGGGUCAGGGGUUCAAAUCCCCUCAGCUCCA